rnacentral:rRNA from 1 species
UACGUAGGUGGCGAGCGUUGUCCGGAUUUACUGGGCGUAAAGAGCGCGCAGGCGGUCGUUCAAGUCGGGUGUGAAAGCCCCCGGCUCAACUGGGGAGGGUCACGCGAUACUGCUCGACUCGAAGGCAGGAGAGGGAAGUGGAAUUCCCGGUGUAGUGGUGAAAUGCGUAGAUAUCGGGAGGAACACCAGUGGCGAAGGCGACUUCCUGGCCUGUUCUUGACGCUGAGGCGCGAAAGCUAGGGGAGCAAACGGG